CGGCCUGUGUUGGUACAUUCGCACUGAGAUACUCAGUUGAUACAGUACUGUGUUUGUGUAUUUACAGAAUAUUUUUUUUUUAAAUACAGAUCACCAUGGCACGCACAGCUCUAAUCCUCAUCUUAGCCAUCGUACCCUGCUUCUGCCAACGGCCAUUCUACGCUGGACUUCGACCAAUCGGAUACCCAGAAACCCCAGCAGCCACUGGCAUAUUCGACAGAUUUUCAAAUGAACCAAUACCAGCCCAGCUCAACGGAGACAGGAACUACGCGAACCAACUCAAUGCCUUGCCAGUGGACAAUCAACCUUUCUUCUUUGUAAAUAGAGACAAAGUUGCUGAAAAUUUAAAGAACCCUCAGACUUAUCCUCAGAGACCCAGUGGUUUUAAUGAAAAUAAUAGGAAUACUCUUUGAAUGUAUUUAGUUUAAUUAUUUUUGUUGAUUCUUUUUUGAUACCUAUGUUAAUUUAUUAAGUUAGGGAUUCUAUUUAUAAAAAUAAAGAAAUUGAAACUAA